GAUGAAGAACGCAGCGAAAUGCGAUAAGUAAUGUGAAUUGCAGAAUUCAGUGAAUCAUCGAAUCUUUGAACGCACAUUGCGCCCGUCAGUAUUCUGGCGGGCAUGCCUGUUCGAGCGUCAUUACGCCCCUCAAGUCCCCUGUGGACUUGGUGUCGGGGAUCGGCGAGGCUGGUUUUCCAGCACAGCCGUCCCUUAAAUUAAUUGGCGGUCUCGCCGUGGCCCUCCUCUGCGCAGUAGUAAAACACUCGCAACAGGAGCCCGGCGCGGUCCACUGCCGUAAAACCCCCCAACUUUUUAUAGUUGACCUCGAAUCAGGUAGGACUACCCGCUGAACUUAAGCAUAUCAAUAAGCGGAGGA
rnacentral:misc_RNA from 1 species